UGCUUUUGUGCAAUAGUGAUUAUUCUUGUGUGCAAUCUUAACAUGGUUUGCCUACAUAUGUGAAAUGCUUAUAUUGAUAUUUGGUUGGUAUGUGUUUCACCUCAACUACAAGUUUAAGUUGUUUGCAUGGAUACAACAUUUAUUAUUUUAUAUUUAUUCUCAACAGAAAUUUAGUUGAGAAUAGGAAUAAAUAAUCAUUAUUUUUCAAUGACUUUAAUUAUGGUUGACCCCUUAGGUUGGUGUAGAGUAAUUGAAGGAAGUAUAGGCUCUGCAAUAUAUUUGUAAUUGUGUAUAUAUGUUGUAGUUAUGUUGUCACUGGCUGCUGACUUCAUUUUCAUCCAUUCUUGUG